rnacentral:rRNA from 1 species
AUUGAACGCUGGCGGCAGGCCUAACACAUGCAAGUCGAGCGAGCGGCGGACGGGUGAGUAAUGUCUGGGAAUCUGCCCGAUAGAGGGGGAUAACUACUGGAAACGGUAGCUAAUACCGCAUACUAUCGGAUGAACCCAUAUGGGAUUAGCUAGUAGGGGGGGUAAAGGCUCACCUAGGCGACGAUCCCUAGCUGGUCUGAGAGGAUGACCAGCCACACUGGAACUGAGACACGGCCCAGACUCCUACGGGAGGCAGCAGUGGGGAAUAUUGCACAAUGGGCGCAAGCCUGAUACAGCCAUGCCGCGUGUAUGAAGAAGGCCUUAGGGUUGUAAAGUACUUUCAGCGGGGAGGCGUUACCCGCAGAAGAAGCACCGGCUAACUCCGUGCCAGCAGCCGCGGUAAUAC